UGAGGAAUUUUGCGCAAUGGCCGCAAGGCUGACGCAGCAACGCCGCGUGGGUGAUGAAGGCCUUCGGGUCGUAAAGCCCUGUCAGGUGGGAAGAAAGGCCUGGAGAGGAAAGGUUUCAGGUUUGACGGUACCACCAGAGGAAGCACCGGCUAACUCCGUGCCAGCAGCCGCGGUAAUACGGAGGGUGCGAGCGUUAUUCGGAAUUACUGGGCGUAAAGCGCGUGUAGGCGGGGAGACAAGUCUGAUGUGAAAGCCCUGGGCUUAACCUGGGAAGUGCAUUGGAAACUGUUUUUCUCGAGUACUGGAGAGGAAGGGGGAAUUCCCGGUGUAGAGGUGAAAUUCGUAGAGAUCGGGAGGAAUACCAGUGGCGUAGGCGCCCUUCUGGACGGUAACUGACGCUGAGACGCGAAAGCGUGGGGAGCAAACAG
rnacentral:rRNA from 1 species